UACGGAGGGUGCGAGCGUUGUCCGGAAUCACUGGGCGUAAAGGGCGCGUAGGCGGCGCGGAUAGUCGGCGGUGAAAGCCCGGAGCUCAACUCCGGGUCGGCCGUCGAUACUUCCGGGCUUGAGCACUGUAGAGGCAGAUGGAAUUCCGGGUGUAGCGGUGGAAUGCGUAGAGAUCCGGAAGAACACCAGUGGCGAAGGCGGCUUUCUGGACGGUAACUGACGCUGAGACGCGAAAGCGUGGGGAGCAAACAGG
rnacentral:rRNA from 1 species